rnacentral:rRNA from 1 species
GACGAACGCUGGCGGCGUGCUUAACACAUGCAAGUCGAACGGAAAGGCCCUGCUUUUGUUGGGUGCUCGAGUGGCGAACGUGUGAGUAACACGUGAGUAACCUGCCCUUGACUUUGGGAUAACUUCAGGAAACUUGGGCUAAUACCGGAUAGGAGCUCCUGCUGCAUGGUGGGGGUUUGAAAGUUUCGGCGGUUGGGGAUGGACUCGCGGCUUAUCAGCUUGUUGGUGGGGUAGUGGCUUACCAAGGCUUUGACGGGUAGCCGGCCUGAGAGGGUGACCGGCCACAUUGGGACUGAGAUACGGCCCAGACUCCUACGGGAGGCAGCAGUGGGGAAUAUUGCACAAUGGGCGGAAGCCUGAUGCAGAAACGCCGCGUGCGGGAUGACGGCCUUCGGGUUGUAAACCGCUUUCGCCUGUGACGAAGCGUGAGUGACGGUAAUGGGUAAAGAAGCACCGGCUAACUACGUG